rnacentral:lncRNA from 1 species
UUAUUCUUUAAAAUCUUAAAACAAGUAUAAACCACUUUAGAUAAUUAAGAUGAACAUAUGAUUACUCACAAUAGCGGGAGUUUGGAGUACUCCUAUUCUUGGUCCUCGGGUACAAUAUCUUUACCCUUAUCAGAGGGCUCACCACCUAUACAUAAUACACGACACGUAAUUCAAUAUAUUUGUGCCAAACUGUUAUAAAACUAUUUCAGGCUUUAUAUGAAUGCAUGACAUUGAAUGAGAAUUGUCCGAAUAAUCACUUAAAGACGGUGUUCUACGUGGGUUCAAUUAUGAUCGGACUAAAUUGGCAUUUGACCUAACUCGCACUAUGCCUUGUUUAAUUAGCCAAAACAUCCAAUUCAACUCCAAAUAUCUUCAUUACACUUCCAAUAUUCCAAAUACACCAAAGUACCUCAAUGAGCUUAAUUGUGACUUAAUUACCCGUAACCGAAAUUCAUUUCGAUUUCGAUAUCUGAUACAAUAAAUCAUCAAUUACGAGCUAAUUAACAUGAAACACAACAAAAUCCAUCAUCAACAUGUCACCUAAUAAAUUCGGCCAAAGAGGGUUAUUGAAGGGCAUGUGAUUUUCUUGCUUGUUUUUCCUUCCAAACAUCACAAAAUGACUAAAAACACUAGGAUAUUAUGAAAUCUAGCAAAAUUCAUAACCAAAACUUCUCUCUCUAGGUUUGGCUAGCAAAGGUUCCCUCUUGAAAACUUGAAUUUCAGCCAUGGAGAAUGAAAAAGAAUGCAUGGGAAAGGUAGAUCACAAGCUAAAAUUAAAAAAUCUUACCUUUACUUGCUUGAUUCCUUGAAAUCCAACAAUUUCUCUUGAAUUUUUCUUUCCUAGGGUUUGUUCUUCUCUUUUUCUCUUUGUUCC